ACUGUAGUGUAGGUACGCCGAUAUUAUGUACAUAUAUAUGUAAGCGGGUAGAUCUAAAGAUUGUGUCAUUCAUGUCAUUCCGAAUAUACCGUUAACCCAGGACUGCGUGUUUCUUUCCAAUACUCCUAUAUUUCAUUGGCAAACGAGGAUUUGGGAUUUAUUGUGGUUGAGGAGGAACACAAACAUGACAAUUGGCAAGAUUGGCGAGUUUGCCGCGGCGUCGGGCAAUUGGUCACUGUACGUCGAGAGGUUGGAGAUGUACUUCAAAGUGAAUACGAUCGCGGAGGGCUUGUGGCUGCCUACGUUGAUUGCGGUAAUGGGCGAGGACACAUACGAUUUGUUAAGCAACCUGGUUAGUCCUAAGAAGCCGGCGGAAAUGACCUACGCUCAAGUCACCGACGCGUUACGUAAGCACUUACAACCCAAGCGCUCCGUCAUGGCGGAAAGGUACCAUUUUCGUCAACGGCGGCAAAAUAAGGACGAGAGCAUCACUCAGUACAUCGCAGAGUUGAAGAAAUUGGCUAAGCAUUGUGACUUUGAUUCGAGCUUAGAAGACAAUUUACGUGAUCAGUUAGUGUGCGGGUUAAGAAGUGACGUCAUUAGACAACGGUUAUUCGCGGAGGACGGAUUGAAGUACGAUCGGGCCGUGCAGUUAGCGUGUGCGCUAGAGGGAGCGGAACGGGACGCGGCAGCUGUGGACCAGGCGGGGUCAAGCGAGGGUCGGGGCCCGGCGGAGGGCACGGCCGCGGUACACGCCCUGGCGGCAUCGGCGGCGCGCGCGCAGCAGUGGCACGGUCGGCGCAGGGGCGCGGGCGCAGCAGUGGCUCGGCGACCGAGCGGUGCAGCGCUGUGUAACGUGUGCGGGGCGAGCGAUCACGCCAGCACUGAGUGCAGAUUCAAGAAUUUCGUAUGUCGGCUGUGUGGAAAUAAGGGCCAUCUUAAGCGAGCCUGUCCAGAGCGAGCGGGGACGGCUGCGAGAGGGAGAGGUCGCUCGGGCCUGUACAACCUGCGAACGGCGGCGAACGGGAAGGCUACGGAUGGCGGCCAGUCAGAAGAUUCUGAGCUGGAGGGUGAUCUGCAUCAGUUGUGUUUGAACAGCUACAAGCCGGUAAGCAUUAAGUUAUUGGUUGAUAAUGUGGAGAUGACUAUGGAGGUGGACACGGGAGCAGCUGUAGCCUGUAUCAGUAAAAAAACAUAUUUAGAACAUUUCAAACACCGGCCACUUCUUAACUCAGAGGUUGUUUUCAAUGUUUACAAUGGCAUGAAAAUAAGGCCUUUAGGUAUUAUAAAACCACUUGUAAAGUACGAAGGGCAAGAGAAAGCACUAGAGUUGUUUGUGGUAGAAGGCGGAUCGAUUCCGUUACUUGGUCGCCAUUGGCUUGUAGAGUUGAAUAUCAAUAUACCUACUUUAACUAAGAACAAUGAGUUAAGUAACUUUAAGACAGAGUGUACUGAUAUAUCUCUUUUGAUUGGCAGGUAUAAACAGCUAUUCACUGACGGGCUCGGGCGGUUCACGGGCGGUAAGGCGGCGUUGCGCGUGCGCGAGGGGGCCGAGCCGGUGUACUGUCGCGCGCGCCCUCUGCCGUACGCCAUCAAGGACCAAGUGGACGCGCAGCUGGACGAAAUGCUGCGGGAAGGUAUUAUUGAACCUGUAGAUACGUCAGAGUGGGCCACUCCUCUAGUACCCGUUAGGAAACCCGACGGAAGUUUACGUCUAUGUGCUGACUUUAAAAUCACGGUAAACCCUGUUUUAUUGGUAGAUAGGUUUCCGUUGCCUAGGGUGGAUGAUUUACUCGUGGGCCUAAAUGGGGCGCAAAUUUUUUCCAAAAUAGAUCUCUCGCAGGCCUACAAUCAAAUAGAAUUAGACGAUUCAAAAAAAUAUACAGUUAUAAACACUCAUAGGGGUCUAUUUUUAUAUAAUAGGUUAGUGUUCGGUCUAGCGUCGAGUCCUGGCAUUUUUCAACGCAUUAUGUCUAACCUGUUACAUGAUAUUCCAAAUGUGGAGUUUUUCCUUGAUGAUAUUAUAAUAGCCACUAAGACGGAGAAGGAGCACCUCGAUACAUUAGAACGGGUAUUUAGUAGGUUACAUGAGCAUGGCUUGAAGUUAAAAAAGGGAAAUGCCAAUUUAUGCUUGAGGAAGUUAGAUACCUGGGGUAUAUUAUCUCUAAGGAAGGUCUAAAGGUCGAUCCCAGUAAGGUGGAGGCGAUAACGAACAUUCCUAGGCCGAGAGAUGUUAACGAAGUGCGUUCAUUUUUAGGGUUAGUUAAUUUUUAUGCCAAAUUCGUUAAAAACAUUAGUAUGGUAUUGGCCCCUUUAUAUAAUUUGCUAAAAAAAAAUGUAACAUGGGAGUGGGAUAACAGUUGCGAAAACUCCUUCCAUACUAUAAAAAAGUUCUCACUAGCGCCGAUGUACUUAUACAUUAUGAUCCUAGUAAACAGCUGAUUUGUACCUGUGACGCAUCGAGCCGUGGCGUUGGAGGGGUGUUGACCCAACCGGGCGCGGGGGGAGUCGAAAGACCAGUUGCGUACGUAUCUAGGUCAUUAACAGAUGCGGAAAAAAACUACUCUCAGAUUGAUAAGGAAGCGCUUGCUAUUGUGUUUUGUUUACAAAGACUGCAUCAAUACUUGUAUGGGCGACGUUUCAUUUUACGUACGGAUCACAAACCGUUGAAAUACCGAGCAUUGUUCAACGGGGGUGAGUCCGGCGGCGUUGAUGUUAGGUAAACAGGUGCGCACCAAGCUAGACGCCUUAAGGCCCCACUGUGAGUCCAAGGUCCGGGCGUCACAAAAACGUCAGGAGAGAAGUUGCGGCGGUACGUCAGAGCGAAUGUAUCAACCAGGAGAACCGGUCUGGUUGCGUCAGUAUCAAGGGGGGACGAAGUGGGUACCGGGUGAGGUCACUCGGAAACUAGGAUCUAGGGACUACCAGGUUUUAGACGAGCAGGGUAGGUCAGCACAUAGACAUAGUGAUCAACUUAAGCGUAGGACUAGGAACUCGUUGGUUUGCCCUGACAGCUCACCGGGGAACGGGAGUGGCCCAUCUGUGGAUGAAAAGGUUCCACCCGUGAGGCAAGAGGUCCCUGGGUCCUUGAUGGCUGAUAGUACACCGGAAACGCGAAGUUCCAGCCCUAAGGUAGGAAGUGCUGGUCCACUAGCGCUUAGUGAUCAGGACUAUCAGGAGACCGAGAAUAUGGUGGAAAAUGUAAUACCGGAGGAGAACCCGAACGCCGCCUUACCGCUCCGACCCCGUCCAGUACGCCAAUGUCGUGUGAAUAAGCCACCGCAUUAUAAAGUGUAAUUCAUAGCUGUUAAGAUGCAAUUCGUGUAGGUGCAUUAUAAGUUCGUCUUACACUACCUAUAUUCCUUCAUUGUACUUAUCUAAUGUUUGUCUUUUCUUCCUUUUCUAUAGGUAUUAUUACUCGGUUGAGAUCUGAUGUAAUUAAGUAAGUGUAGUUAUGUAACCGGUAUCUAUCUUAUGCCGAAUUUAGAGUAUAGCUUGUAUAAUGUAACUUCAGUUCCCAAAAGGCUAGUCCUAAGGUUCUUAUUGUUCUUAAUAAGGGUGGAGGUGUAGUGUAGGUACGCCGAUAUUAUGUACAUAUAUAUGUAAGCGGGUAGAUCUAAAGAUUGUGUCAUUCAUGUCAUUCCGAAUAUACCGUUAACCCAGGA